GAUGAACGCUGGCGGCGUGCCUAAUACAUGCAAGUCGAGCGAACAGACGAGGAGCUUGCUCCUCUGACGUUAGCGGCGGACGGGUGAGUAACACGUGGAUAACCUACCUAUAAGACUGGGAUAACUUCGGGAAACCGGAGCUCAUACCGGAUAAUAUAUUGAACCGCAUGGUUCAAUAGUGAAAGACGGUUUUGCUGUCACUUAUAUAUGGAUCCGCGCCGCAUUAGCUAGUUGGUAAGGUAACGGCUUACCAAGGCAACGAUGCGUAGCCGACCUGAGAGGGUGAUCGGCCACACUGGAACUGAGACACGGUCCAGACUCCUACGGGAGGCAGCAGUAGGGAAUCUUCCGCAAUGGGCGAAAGCCUGACGGAGCAACGCCGCGUGAAUGAUGAAGGUCUUCGGAUCAUAAAACUCUGUUAUUAGGGAAGAACAAAUGUGUAAGUAAAUAUGCACGUCUUGACGGUACCUAAUCAGAAAGCCACGGCUAACUACGUG
rnacentral:rRNA from 1 species